CUAAACGACUCUCGGCAACGGAUAUCUCGGCUCUCGCAUCGAUGAAGAACGUAGCGAAAUGCGAUACUUGGUGUGAAUUGCAGAAUCCCGUGAACCAUCGAGUCUUUGAACGCAAGUUGCGCCCGAAGCCUUCUGGCCGAGGGNACGCCUGCCUGGGCGUCACGCA
rnacentral:rRNA from 1 species